UCCCCUACGGGACGCAGCAGUGAGGAAUAUUGGUCAAUGGCCGAGAGGCUGAACCAGCCAAGUCGCGUGAGGGAUGACGGCCCUACGGGUUGUAAACCUCUUUUGUCGGGGAGCAAGACCCGCCACGAGUGGCGGAGCGAGAGUACCCGAAGAAAAAGCAUCGGCUAACUCCGUGCCAGCAGCCGCGGUAAAACGUAGGUGGCAAGCGUUAUCCGGAUUUAUUGGGCGUAAAGCGAGUGCAGGCGG
rnacentral:rRNA from 1 species